rnacentral:rRNA from 1 species
GUACCGCGGCUGCUGGCACAGAGUUAGGAGCCCCUUAUUCAUAGAGUAACGUCAAAAAUUCCUCCUCCAUAAAAGGUGUUUACGUCCCGAGGGACUUCAUCCACCACGCGGCGUCGCUCCGUCAGACUUUCGUCCAUUGCGGAAUAUUCUCGGCUGCUGCCCUCCGUAGAAGUAUGGACCGUGUCUCAGUUCCAUCGGUGGGGAUCGAGCUCUCACUCCCCCUAAGCGUCAUAGCCUUGGUAGGCCAUUACCCUACCAACAAGCUGAUACUAUGCAGGCUCCUCCUCAAGCGAUAAAUCUUUACUCCGUAGAGACUAUCGAGUAUUGCGCCGUCUUUCGACGGAAUAUCCUCGACUUGAGGGAAGAUUCCUACACGUUACUACCUCGUUUGCCACGGGUCUAAACCCGUUCGACUUGCAUGCCUUAUCCACGCCGCCAGCGUUCACCCUGAGCCAUGAUCAAACUC